rnacentral:rRNA from 1 species
GUGUCAGCAGCCGCGGUAAUACGUAGGGUGCAAGCGUUAAUCGGAAUUACUGGGCGUAAAGCGUGCGCAGGCGGCCAUGCAAGACAGAUGUGAAAUCCCCGAGCUCAACUUGGGAACUGCAUUUGUGACUGCAUGGCUGGAGUGCGGCAGAGGGGGAUGGAAUUCCGCGUGUAGCAGUGAAAUGCGUAGAUAUGCGGAGGAACACCGAUGGCGAAGGCAAUCCCCUGGGCCUGCACUGACGCUCAUGCACGAAAGCGUGGGGAGCAAACAGGAUUAGAUACCCUGGUAGUCCACGCCCUAAACGAUGUCAACUGGUUGUUGGGAGGGUGUCUUCUCAGUAACGUAGCUAACGCGUGAAGUUGACCGCCUGGGGAGUACGGCCGCAAGGUUGAAACUCAAAGAAAUUGACGG